GAUGAAGAACGUAGCGAAAUGCGAUAAGUAAUGCGAAUUGCAGAAUUUCCGUGAGUCAUCGAAUCUUUGAACGCACAUUGCGCCCACUGGUAUUCCGGUGGGCAUGCCUGUCUGAGCGUCAUUUCAACCCUCGCCCCCGGCUUUUGCUGGGAGCGGUGUUGGGGAUCGGCCGCCCGUCACUGGGAGGCCGGCCCCGAAAUAGAGUGGCGACCACGCCGUGUGCUCCUCUGCGUAGUAGUAAAUCACCUCGCAGGCGGACAGCGGUGCGGCCUGCCGUAAAACCCCCAACUCUUUCUGGUUGACCUCAGAUCAGGUAGGAAUACCCGCUGAACUUAAGCAUAUCAAUAAGCGGAGGA
rnacentral:misc_RNA from 1 species